ACGGGGGGAGCAAGCGUUGUUCGGAUUUACUGGGCGUAAAGGGCGCGUAGGCGGCCUCCGCAAGUCAGUUGUGAAAUCUCCGAGCUUAACUCGGAAAGGUCAACUGAUACUGCGGGGCUAGAGUGCGGAAGGGGCAACUGGAAUUCUUGGUGUAGCGGGGAAAUGCGUAGAUAUCAGGAGGAAAACCUGUGGUGUAGACGGCUCUCUGGACCGAGACUGACGCU
rnacentral:rRNA from 1 species